AUACUUACCUGGCAGGGGAGAUACCAUGAUCACGAAGGUGGUUUUCCCAGGGCGAGGCUUAUCCAUUGCACUCCGGAUGUGCUGACCCCUGUGAUUUAUCCAAAUGUGGGAAACUCGACUGCAUAAUUUGUGGUAGUGGGGGACUGCGUUCGCGCUAAA
ensembl:snRNA U1 U1 spliceosomal RNA